GAGCGGCAAAAGCUCAAAUUUGAAAUCUGGUACCUUCGGUGCCCGAGUUGUAAUUUGGAGAGGGCAACUUUGGGGCCGUUCCUUGUCUAUGUUCCUUGGAACAGGACGUCAUAGAGGGUGAGAAUCCCGUGUGGCGAGGAGUGCGGUUCUUUGUAAAGUGCCUUCGAAGAGUCGAGUUGUUUGGGAAUGCAGCUCUAAGUGGGUGGUAAAUUCCAUCUAAAGCUAAAUAUUGGCGAGAGACCGAUAGCGAACAAGUACAGUGAUGGAAAGAUGAAAAGAACUUUGAAAAGAGAGUGAAAAAGUACGUGAAAUUGUUGAAAGGGAAGGGCAUUUGAUCAGACAUGGUGUUUUGUGCCCUCUGCUCCUUGUGGGUGGGGGAAUCUCGCAUUUCACUGGGCCAGCAUCAGUUUUGGUGGCAGGAUAAAUCCAUAGGAAUGUAGCUUGCCUCGGUAAGUAUUAUAGCCUGUGGGAAUACUGCCAGCUGGGACUGAGGACUGCGACGUAAGUCAAGGAUGCUGGCAUAAUGGUUAUAUGCCGCCCGUCUU
rnacentral:rRNA from 1 species